UAGAAGUCAGGUCGGAUUAAGCCAUAGUACGGAAAAAACUAUGCUACCUGUGAGCCCCGUCCAAGGACGUUAAAAGAAGUCAGGCCAUCAUAAAUGCCAUAGCUUGAGCAAACUAUGCUGCCUGUAGCUCCACCUGAGAAGGUGUNAAAAAUCUGGGAGGCCACAAACCAUGGAAGCUGUACGCAUGG
rnacentral:lncRNA from 1 species